ACCUUUGACAUGUAUGGAACUUGCCAGAGAUGGCUUGGUGCUCGAAAGAGAGCCGUAACACAGGUGCUGCAUGGCUGUCGUCAGCUCGUGUCGUGAGAUGUUGGGUUAAGUCCCGCAACGAGCGCAACCCUUGCCAUUAGUUGCUACGAAAGGGCACUCUAAUGGGACUGCCGGUGAUAAACCGGAGGAAGGUGGGGAUGACGUCAAGUCCUCAUGGCCCUUAUAGGUGGGGCUACACACGUCAUACAAUGGCUGGUACAAAGGGUUGCCAACCCGCGAGGGGGAGCUAAUCCCAUAAAACCAGUCGUAGUCCGGAUCGCAGUCUGCAACUCGACUGCGUGAAGUCGGAAUCGCUAGUAAUCGUGGAUCAGAAUGUCACGGUGAAUACGUUCCCGGGUCUUGUACACACCGCCCGUCACACCAUGGGAGCGGGUUCUGCCAGAAGUAGUUAGCCUAACCGCAAGGAGGGCGAUUACCACGGCAGGGUUCGUGACUGGGGUGAAGUCGUAACAAGGUAGGCGUAGAUGA
rnacentral:rRNA from 1 species